AUGAAUCGGUACCGAAGUAGUGUUGACAUCCUUGACUCUUUACCUUAUCCGAAGAACCACCGUCCUUCAAAGAACACCUAUCACAAAGAAUGCGAGAAGAUUAUUUCUAGAAUGGUCAAAGUAAUGAAGGCUGUGUAUGGUGAUGCUCAGUACAAUGCGAGCAAGCAGCCCAAUUGGGAGCUGUUUGCAAAGAAACCAACGUUUGUCAAGGUUCCACUUCAAGGGGAAAAUGAAUGUGGCCAUUAUACUCUGAAGUAUGCGGGAUGCUACGAUGGUGAAAAGAUCGUUGAGAACAUUCGAGAUUAUGACCCACGCAUUGUUGAUUGGAAUGCUGAGGAUCUAUAUAGAGUUGUGUUCAACCGGAAUAACCAUCUUAUGGUUACGGAGCUUCCCAAGGAGCUUCAGGCUUUGGCUCCUGAUGCAUAG
rnacentral:rRNA from 1 species